rnacentral:rRNA from 1 species
UGAGGAAUAUUGGUCAAUGGACGCAAGUCUGAACCAGCCAAGUAGCGUGCAGGAUGACGGCCCUAUGGGUUGUAAACUGCUUUUAUAUGGGGAUAAAGUGGGGAACGUGUUCCCUUUUGCAUGUACCAUACGAAUAAGGACCGGCUAAUUCCGUGCCAGCAGCCGCGGUAAUACGGAAGGUCCAGGCGUUAUCCGGAUUUAUUGGGUUUAAAGGGAGCGUAGGCUGUUUGUUAAGCGUGUUGUGAAAUGUAAGAGCUCAACUUUUAGAUUGCAGCGCGAACUGGCAGACUUGAGUGCGCACAACGUAGGCGGAAUUCAUGGUGUAGCGGUGAAAUGCUUAGAUAUCAUGACGAACUCCGAUUGCGAAGGCAGCUUACGGGAGCGCAACUGACGCUAAAGCUCGAAGGUGCGGGUAUCGAACAGG